rnacentral:ncRNA from 1 species
AAAAGUUUAAUUUAAGCUUAAAAAUUUAAUUUAAUUUUUAUUUAUAUGUAAAUUUUAAUGUUAUAAAGUGUAUUUUUAGAAAAAAUGCGUGGUAUUUUUUGCAGUGAAAAUUUUUAAUUAUAAAGUAAUUUUUGAAUUAGAAAUGAUUAUAAUAUAAAUUAAAUUUGUGCCAGCAAUAGCGGUUAAACAAAUUAUAUAAUUAAAUUUUUUUAGAUAUAAUUAAUUUAGAUUAAAAAUUUAAAUUAUAGAUUUUAAGGUGAAAUUUAAAUUUAUUAAAUUUUUUAAAUUAUGAGGUUAUUAAAUUUUUAUUUUUAAACUAGGAUUAGAUACCCUAUUAUAGAAAAUAUUUUUUUGUUUCUGAGUUAGUAGUUGUUAUGAUCAUUAAAGUUAAAGAUUUUGGCGGUAUUUUAUUCUUUUCAGAGGAACCUGUUCUAUAAUUGAUAAUACACGAUAAAUUUUACUUUUGUUAAGUUUACAUAUCGUUGUAUAAAAUAUUUUUAAGGAAUUUUAAUAUUUAUAAUUUUUAUUAUAAAAUAAAUCAGAUCAAGAUGUAGUUAUAUAGAAGUAGAAAUGGGUUACAAUAAAUUUAUUUAUAAUGGAUUAUAGGUUUAAGUUUUAUAUAAAGGUGGAUUUGAAAGUAAUUUUAUUUUUUUUUUUAGAAUGAUUUAGUUUUAAAAUAUGUACAUAUUGCCCGUCGCUUUCAUUAUAAAAUGAAAUAAGUCGUAACAAAGUAGAUGUACUGGAAAGUGUCUCUAGAAUAACA